rnacentral:lncRNA from 1 species
GCCUCAACUCAAUGGAUAUCCAAAAGAAGAAAUAGGAUCCUAUUGGAUAUGGCCCAGUCCAUGAAAAGCUUCAUUGAUUUACUCUUAUUUCUUUGGGGAUAUGCCUUACCGUGAUGCAUAUUUUAAAUAGGUUCCUUCUAAGUUUGUUCCUACCGCACUAUACGAGAUAUGGCAUGGUAAAAAAUUGAGUCUGAGUUAUCUUAAAGCUUAAGGAUGCCCAGCCAAUAUUAAAAAAUAAAAAGCUGAUAAAUUAGAGGAUAGAUCAGUUGUAGCUCGGUUUAUAGG